rnacentral:rRNA from 1 species
UUCUACAGCCAUGCUACCCUGAACAAGCCUGAUCCUGUCUGAUCUUGGAAGCUAAGCAGGGUCUGACUUGGUUAGUACUUGAAUGGGAGACCAUCUAGGAAGACUAGGUGCUAUAGGUA